UACGUAGGUGGCAAGCGUUGUCCGGAUUUACUGGGCGUAAAGAGCGCGCAGGCGGUCGUUCAAGUCGAGUGUGAAAGCCCCCGGCUCAACUGGGGAGGGUCACUCGAUACUGAUCGACUCGAAGGCAGAAGAGGGAAGCGGAAUUCCCGGUGUAGUGGUGAAAUGCGUGGAUAUCGGGAGGAACACCAGUGGCGAAGGCGGCUUUCUGGUCUGCUCUUGACGCUGAGGCGCGAAAGCUAGGGUAGCAAACGGG
rnacentral:rRNA from 1 species